GGCUCAUGUGAGAACACCCCCUUUAUGUGAGAACACAAUCCUAUGUGAGAAUAAAUCUUGGCCCUUGAAUCAUUUCUAAUCUAACAGCCUGAAAUCAAGGAUUAUUAAUGGCAAUUUUGUAAAUUCUUUGAAGAUAUAGUCAACCCAUCUCAUCACUUUUCACGCCUGUUUUCUUUCUCUCUCUAACCCCUUUUUCUCUCUCUGUUUUCUCUCCUCUCUCUCUCUAUAUCUUCUUUUGCGCCAUUACUGAACCUUAAUUAAGGUCGAAUUGAUCUUCAAAUUUGCUUCAGAAUUCAAUUAUAUUCUCGAAUACAUUCAUUUGAUUGCUUAUUUAUAGGUAUUUUUCAUCAAUUUCAUUCAAUUUCUCAAUUAUGAUUUGUGUAUUUUGCGUGAGAAUUUUUCGAUUUGUGACCUAGUUUUGAUAUAUUAUCGAAUUUAAUUUCAUUAUUAUCGAAUUACAAUUAUCUAAUUGUUGAUUAUCGAAUUGCUUAUUAUCGUUUGCUGAAUUUUGUGAGCUGCUUCUUUAUUUUGAAUUUCGUCAGCUAUUUUUUUAAUUAUCGAAUUGCUGAUUUUGUUAUUGGUCUGUUUUAUUUUUUAUUUUCUGAUUUUUUUAAUUUUAUUUUUUGUUUUUUGAUUUGGAUUUGUUUUUGUUUUAGAUUUUUAUUUAUCGAAUUGUUCCUCUCAAUUCGUUUUUUAAACAAAGAAAAAUAGAUGUUCUAUAUUCAAUGUACAAUAUGUUCUAUAUAAAUAUUCUACAAUGUGUUCUAAACAAUGUAUUCAAUGUUCUGAACUAUGUUAGCAUAUGUUCUAAGUUACUUAUCUUUUGUUCUGCAGUAUUUAAAACUAUGUUCUGUAUCUUUUUUUUGUUGGUGGAGAUGCAUUCGUCGUGUCAUCUGUUGCUGUUGGUGGUGAGGUGUUGUUGCCGUUGAGGCUCCAAAGGAGGAGAAGAAGGUUGAAGAGAAAGAAGAGUCGGAUGACCUAUUGUGUGUUCAAAAUUGUUAGGUGGAAGCUGGAAAGUUGAAACUGGUCUUUCCAUAAUAGUACAAUUUAGGGAUAAUAACACUCAACUGGUGUUAAUCCAUAGUGAUGGUGUCAAACCUUAUGAAUAGGUUGUAUUCUGAGUAAUUAUCCUUAUUAGGGGUUUUCUUGCUUAAGUUUAAUUUCUUGUUAGAUUGCAAUCUUGCAUAAUAAUAUCUUGAAUUUCUGCUAA